GGCUGUAGCUCAGUGGUAGAGCUCUGGCCUCGCAUGUGUGAGGCACUGGGUUCUAUCCUCAGCACCA
rnacentral:tRNA from 1 species